GGAAUACCCAGGCAAAAGUCAUGGAUUUUUGCACCUUUUCUUUGCUGUGAGACGACCUCUAUGUUAUCAUGCAUGUCAGUUCCUAAUUCCCCAUCAAGUGAUUCAGAAGAUGGAUAUAUAUUCAAGGGUUCCUCUAUCUCUGGCUGAUCUUCGGUAUAUUUCAAAGUACUGAUCUCAAAAUCUGGCAAGCUUGCAUCAUUUCCGUUGAGACUCAUAGGAACUGACAACUUUGAAGUGGCAAUCCUCCGGGCGUUGUAAGCGAAACCCCGGCCGAGGAUCACCGGUCGGCGGUGGCCGUCGAGAGACCACAAGCUCCGCUUCAG
rnacentral:misc_RNA from 1 species